CUUCUCAUUCUUUCAACAUUCCUGCUCUCCUCUAUCUCUCUAAACAUAUCACAACCUCUAUUUCGACUUUUUCAGAGUUUACUUGUAUUUUUUCUUGUUCUAUCUUUGUUUGUGUUUUUAAAAUACUUUCACAGAUCGAAGCAAUCUUUUAUUUUUAUUUUAUUUUUGCGUGAUUUAUAUCAUAUUUUGUUUAGAUUUUUCAAUAUCUAAACAAAAUAAUGUUUAAACGCAAAAUUCACAUGAUGGUAGAUCUAUGAAUAUCUACAUAAGAAGUGUAGUGCUUAAAACAAAAUUUGUAGAAAAUGUACACAGAUUCGUGCUUAUUUUUUUUUUGUAAUUUUUGUGUCUAAGGCAUCACUUUUUGAAUAUCUAUAUAUAUAUAUAUAUAUAUAUCUGCAUAAAGAUGGUAGAUCUAUUAAUACAGAUGAUAGAUCUAUAAAGAUCUAUGAAUAUUGUAGAUCUGAGAUCUAUAAAGAUCUAUGAAUAUUCAUAGAUCCGAGUUCUAUAAAGAUCUAUGAAUAUUCAAAGAUUUGAUUCUAUAAUGAUCCAUGAAUAUUCGUAGAUCUAUGAUUUCUACACAAAGUGCUUUACAAAUUAAAAUUUACUAAUAUGAAAUCUAGCCUAAACUGUCAGUCUUUUCUUAAGUAUACAUAAUUAUUGUUUGAGUUGCAGAAAUAGUUUUGUCCAAAGAAAUAAAGUUUUUUGUUCUUUUCCUUUAAGAUUAUUGGUGUAUCAUUUGGAGAACUUCUCCUUUGUGAGGUUCAUCUUAUAUUUUCAUUUUAUUCUAAAUGUAGUUGUCCUUUGUUGUAUUUGUUUCUAAAUGUAGUUGUCCUUUGUUGUAUUUGUUUAUUUUGGGUGACAUAGCUAAAUCAUUUUGUAAUAAUACUACACAAUUAUUUUCCUAAAAUUGGGAUCUCCACAAUUUUUAGUACUUCAUCCCUAUACAUGGAGGCUUUGUUCAGUUUCCAUAUUGAGGCAAGUUGCAUUUCUAUCACAUGUUAAUUAUAUUUUCUCUUCUGAUUUGGACAAUUUUUGUAUCUAACACAAGUUUAGUUUCAUAUUUCAGAUCCAACACUUCUGUAAGGGCUGAUUUGGUAUUUUGAUCUCGACAGGAGAACCUUUACAGUGUGGGAUUCCAUUAGAGAAGGUAAACAUUAUUAUGUGAACCGGUUUAAUCAUCUUAUGUUCUUGAAAUACAAUUUUUGAUCUGACUUUCUAAUUGUAAAUUUAUUUUGUUUCCAGAUUCGUAUGAAUUCUUCCUACUAUCAUUCAAGAGUGAAAAAGUUAAGUAUAAUCUCUUAUUAGUUUUAUAUAUUUGAACAAAACCUAUUUACUCUGCAGUUUAUAAUAUGCAAAUAAUUGUGCUAAUGAAUGUUUUAAUUUUGACAUCAGGCAAUCAUUCAUCAAAUAUUGAACGGAGCAGCACUGCAUCACAGGUAAGUUAACAAAUCUAUAUACUCUAGAGUUUAUCGAACAUGAUGUUUAAAAAAUUUGAAAACAGACAACAAUAUUCAUGCAAAUUCAUAUUUAUCACAUGCUAUGAAAAUAUGAAUAAUUGAAUUAAAACUUACCUGAAUAAAUAUGUUGGAUCUUUAGAUCAUAUAAUUCGUGUUCCUCUUAAUGAUUCAUGAGAACUGAGUAUAACUGCAUAAUGAUCUGUGUAACUGCUUAAUUGUGUAACUGCUUAAUACUUAAUGUAAUCGUGCAUAUAAUCUUAUGUAAUUUUAUGUUUGUGGGCCUGUAUGUGGGCCUAUAGCUGUAUUAUCAUGUAAGCAUUUGUCAUUGGGCUUUUUUUUAUAUAUUUUUUGGUAUUAUUUAUUUUAUAUAAUCCUGUGCAUGUGGGCCUGUAGUUGAAAUAUAAUUUCGACAUUUAUUAUUGGGUCUUUUGGUUCCAAAUUUUUAUUACAAUCUUUAUUAUAGCUUUUAUAUUGGAUAAUUUUUUUUUCUAUUUAUGUAAACUUAUAUGGUCUGUAGUUGUAUUAUAUCACGUUUGAUAUCAAAAUAUGUAAUUACCUAUAUAUACUAUUAGUAUACUAACAUCAAAAAACAAACAACAUAUUGAAAAAGAACAAAUAAAAAUUCAAGAUUCAUAAUUCCCAGAAAAAAGAAAAAUAGCCCACAAAGCUAAACAUACCAGGAAAGUUGAAAAUUCGAGAAGGUGGCAGAAAAAACAUACGGAUAAAUGAUGAAAAACGACAGAAUCUAAUCUGAGAGGUAUUAUAAGAUAAGAGAACCGCGUGCAGUUUUCUUAUUUUAUUUUAUUUUAUUUUAUUUUAUUUUUAAUUCUUUUUGUGUGUGUGUGUGUGUCUUUGUCUUAGGAGGCACGAUAUGAAUUCAAUGCGAUUUCUUCCUCAUUCAAUUUGCUUUCACAAAAUCAUGAAAAGCAAAGAAUAUUUAACGUUUGCAUUUAUUAUUUGAUACUCCUUUCCUAGAAACGUGGAAGAAGAAAUGAAGAAAAAAGUUAGUAGUUUUAAUUAUUUUUAUUACUUGCAAUAAAUUUCGUCCCACUUUUAGUAACUUACCCGUUUCAUUGUAAUUUAUUUAUUUUUUAUUUUAAUUUUUGUUCGGCCAAAAGUAUACAUUAGUUUUUCGUUAUUCAUUCAAAAUUUGAAAAAGAUCCCAUUUUCUGUAUGGAUUUUUGCCUUAUGUAAUAUUAAUUAAUAGAUAAUAUAUAAUAAAAUGAUUCUGAAAUAUGAAAUAC
rnacentral:lncRNA from 1 species